GCAGCCACUGAUGAGAACAUGUGCCUGUGUUUGGAGGAAAUUCUGGGAAUCUUUACAAUUGCAUCUCUUUCACUGUCCCACAGCAAAGGAACAAAAAGAGAGGCAAUCCUGCAGGAAGGACAGCUGGAACACAUGGCUGAGAUAUAACUUCCCUCUGUGUGAAGCUGAUUUAAGGGCUUAUAACCCCUUCAACUUCUUUGACUAAGCUCCCACAUGAAUUACUUGGCAAAGCUGAUGGUGCACAGGGGACCCGACUCCAAGACUAAAACCAAGCCUUGCUGAAAUCUGAAAGCACAGAUUGCACCCUGGAUGAAUGUGGGCAGGAGCUGGAUGAAUAAAGAGGAUCCCAGAGAAGAUCCUCUGAAUGAAAAACCAGGAGCAGUUUUUCAUCUGGGCACAGCGUCCUUGUGCAGGAGUGACAGAGUUCAUCAAAGGUUACUAAUUACCAUGUAAAUCAUGAGGUUGUCUGGCUGUCUGGACAGACUUGGGUGGGUGACCUGGGGUAGAAUCAUAGGAUCAUUAAGAUUGGAAAAGACUUCCAAGAUCAAGCCCAACCUUUGACCAAAUACCCCCAUGCCCACUAAACUGUGUCACGAAGUGCCACAUCUACUCAUUUUUUGAACACUUCAAGGGAUUGUGACUCCACCACUUCCCUGGGGAGGCUGUUUCAGAGACUUUCAAGGAUGGAGGAGUGUGAAGAGCUCACAGUGUGCCUUGGCUUGGGAGCACUUAGGGAAGCACAGAGUCGUGCCCUGCCAAAUGAGUUUGUCAGCCCUGAGCCCACGAUGUCCCUCAGCAUUUGAGCCAUGGCUGCUGGGCAAAGUGGCACAGAGAGAACCCUUCCAGCCCUGGAAAACUCAGCAUCGAGGCAUGGAGAAUUCAUCUUUAGCUGGGGGGGAUCACAUGCUGAGCAGCACAGCCAGGUAACGCAGGACAGGUCACCUUGCACCAACCUGAGCUGCCUCAGGGCACUGCAGGCAGCAGCACAGAACAAGGGGUUAGGCCAGGCUGGACUUGAACUAGACAGGACCUGGACAAGGAGGAGGAAGAACAAGGAGGAAGAAUGAGACUUGGGGAAGGCAAAGAAUGAUUCUGUGGGGGAAACUCUGCAAAUAUGUGCUUCCUUUUACCGAUAAAGGAGGGUGUGAGGCACUGAGAUGAGCUACCUUGUUUGUCUGCUCUCACACCCUGCCAGGCCCUGGCAGCAGCACUCCCUUAUCUCCAGCACAUUGGUACAUUGAGCUGUGCAGCCUUCCCUAAUCCACCACACUGGGCCUGGGCUGCUCCUCCUCUUUCUCCCUCUUCUAACGGGAGGAUUAAUUUUUUAAUAAGUUUGGAUACUCUUUCAGCUUUAGCUGGAUAAUUCUCAUACAUUGCUUAAGCCUUUAGCAGUGUAUGGGGGGCAAUAUUGUCUCUGUCAAGGAAAAUGCCUCCUGUGUGAUAAUGAGGGUGCUCCAGCAGCGUUCCCAUGGGUGGAUUGUGGCACAGAGCUCUUCCUUCCACUGCAGGCAGCUCGGGGGGCAGGUUUCACACCUGCCUCUGCUGUAUUUACACCUCUGUUGUUUGUUAUUUACGUGUUUCGGGUUAUGUAAGUAGCAGCAGUCUCUUGUGCGUGUACCCAGAGGAAUUAAACAAAUUUGCAGAGCAACCUGCUGGGAACUUCCAAGGGGACAAAGCCAUUUUUUGCACACCCACGAGCAGCGCGGAAAACCGAGCUGCAGAAAAUGAGGAAUCGGGUCUUUUUUAAUAUUGUGGGUCUUUACAGCUUUGAUGCCUUGAAGUCGUUGCUGUUGAAGUUGUCCAGCUGAGAGCUUUGUGUCACUCUCAACUCCAAUUAACGUGGUUUUCUGGGCUUUGAGUGAUGACUGCACAACCCACCCUUCUCGUGAGGUUUUUGUUUGGCAUUUCACGUUCCUUAACCAAAAUGGAUUAACUGCCAGCGCUGCCAUGGAUUUGCAGAGAAGCCUCUCACGAGCGGCACUGAGCUGUCUCUGUCCCCGGCCGCACCGAGCCGGGGAGAACAGGGCGAGUCAUCCUUGGGGGGGAAAAAAAAUAAAACCACGUUUUUGCGCGGCGUGACUCACAUAACCGUUCUCAGCAGGCACGAAGCACCGGCGGCCGGCGAGUCCCCGCGAGUUAUUCGGAGCACGCGAGACACGCGGGGCGUGGAGGGCAAAGU